rnacentral:rRNA from 1 species
GGUCAUUGGGGUUGCCUUUACCAUGCAAGUCGAACGGCAGCAUGAUCUAGCUUGCUAGAUUGAUGGCGAGUGGCGAACGGGUGAGUAAUACAUCGGAACGUGCCCUGUAGUGGGGGAUAACUAGUCGAAAGAUUAGCUAAUACCGCAUACGACCUGAGGGUGAAAGUGGGGGACCGCAAGGCCUCAUGCUAUAGGAGCGGCCGAUGUCUGAUUAGCUAGUUGGUGGGGUAAAGGCCUACCAAGGCGACGAUCAGUAGCUGGUCUGAGAGGACGAUCAGCCACACUGGGACUGAGACACGGCCCAGACUCCUACGGGAGGCAGCAGUGGGGAAUUUUGGACAAUGGGCGAAAGCCUGAUCCAGCAAUGCCGCGUGUGUGAAGAAGGCCUUCGGGUUGUAAAGCACUUUUGUCCGGAAAGAAAUGGCUCUGGUUAAUACCUGGGGUCGAUGACGGUACCGGAAGAAUAAGGACCGGCUAACUACGUGCCAGCAGCCGCGGUAAUACGUAGGGUCCAAGCGUUAAUCGGAAUUACUGGGCGUAAAGCGUGCGCAGGCGGUUGUGCAAGACCGAUGUGAAAUCCCCGGGCUUAACCUGGGAAUUGCAUUGGUGACUGCACGGCUAGAGUGUGUCAGAGGGGGGUAGAAUUCCACGUGUAGCAGUGAAAUGCGUAGAGAUGUGGAGGAAUACCGAUGGCGAAGGCAGCCCCCUGGGAUAACACUGACGCUCAUGCACGAAAGCGUGGGGAGCAAACAGGAUUAGAUACCCUGGUAGUCCACGCCCUAAACGAUGUCAACUAGUUG